GUAGGGUGCGAGCGUUAAUCGGAAUUACUGGGCGUAAAGUGUGCGCAGGCGGCCGAGCAAGUCGAGUGUGAAAUCCCCGGGCUUAACUUGGGAAUUGCGCUCGAAACUACUUGGCUCGAGUGUGGCAGAGGGGGGUGGAAUUCCACGUGUAGCGGUGAAAUGCGUAGAGAUGUGGAGGAACACCAAUGGCGAAGGCAGCCCCCUGGGCCAACACUGACGCUCAUGCACGAAAGCGUGGGGAGCAAACAGGAUUAGAUACCCUGGUAGUCCACGCCCUAAACGAUGAUGACUAGUUGUUGGGGGAGUUAAAUCCCUUAGUAACGCAGCUAACGCGCGAAGUCAUCCGCCUGGGGAGUACGGUCACAAGAUUA
rnacentral:rRNA from 1 species